rnacentral:rRNA from 1 species
AUACGGAGGGUGCAAGCGUUAAUCGGAAUAACUGGGCGUAAAGCGCACGCAGGCGGUUGGAUAAGUCAGAUGUGAAAUCCCCGGGCUCAACCUGGGAACUGCAUUUGAAACUGUCUGACUAGAGUCUUGUAGAGGGGGGUAGGAAUUCCAGGUGUAGCGGUGAAAUGCGUAGAGAUCUGGAGGAAUACCGGUGGCGAAGGCGGCCCCCUCGGACAAAGACUGACGCUCAGGUGCGAAAGCGUGGGGAGC